rnacentral:lncRNA from 1 species
ACCAUCAACAACAACAACACACACACACACACACACACACACACACACACACACCACAUGAUUGCUUGCUUGCUUAGGGAGGAAUCAGAGCUUCAAAAGUGAGCUGAUUCCAGCCACCAGCUGUCAUCAUAUGAGGAGCUCUUGUGAGUUGAUCGCCCAUGAAAGAGGAAUGAGCCUCUAAACAUGGCCACAGCUCAGUGAUACUGACCAACCAGACAUACCUUUGCUGGACCUAUGCAAACAUGAAACAGACCCUAAGAUGUGGAACUGCCUGAAGUGAGCAAUCUGACCACCAGGGGGCAGCAUGAGUCCAUCGCUUUGUCUGAAAACAGACAGGUCCUAGUCAGCGGCCCUCCUCUCCAAGCAAGCUGAGUCUGCACGUUGGAGUCAUCUGAUGAGCUUUUAGAAAACUGCAGGUGGGUGGGCUCACUUCAAUUGCCAUCUCCUGUCUUCGGGAGUGGGGCGUGGACAUCGCCAUUAUUUAAAAGUUCCUCAGGUGAGUCUGAUGCACAACGUUGAAAACCACUCGGAGAGGACUGAAUCUGUGAAAACUGUAAAGGCUUCUAGGAAUCAGCCAGCCCAGCCCAUGUGUUUCCAUUUUGCAGCUUCAGGAGCUGAGGCCCAGAGAUAGAAACAGUAGGCUUAGGGGUACUUGGAAGACAGCACCAGAACCCAGGACCCUAACAUUCGGCCCAGUUCUCCUUCUUCUCUGUAGCACGUGGUCGUCCAUAUUUCGGCUGGGCCUGGGCAUCAGAGGACACCAGGGACCACUCCUCCCCUCCCCUCCGAGAGCAGAGUGGUGCAGUCCCUCCUGGCUUAAGGAGCUCCUCACUGACAGGAGAAUUCAGAACUGGCCUGCAGAAAUCAACUGGAGAACCUCCCAACCACGUGUGCAUGAGGUUCAAUGCCCGCAGGACAUUCUUGGGGAGCCCCAAAAACCCCGACCUGAGAAAGCUCUAGAAGCACAGCAUUAGCUCACCACCCACCCCGUACGUCUUGAGUGCUUUGCGAUACCACAGGGUUGUCUGUGACACGUCCAGCCCAGCACUGCCCUGCUCUGCCUGCCUGUCUUUGGGAGGAUGGAUCUGAGGUUCAUGAACACUCCACUUCUCCUCUUGUAGGAUUCUCUCCAGUAAAGCCUCCCCUGCAUUUUAUACCACAUGGUACCGGAGAGGGUUGCCUUUGUCCUUUUUCCAUGACACCUGGCCACCACACAGGCACAUCAUUUUCCCAAUGCUGGGUGUUCUUGGAAGAGGCCUUGUUCCCUAAUACUGAGUGUUUUUGGAAGAGUCCUUGUUCCUGAUGCUGGGCAUUUCUGGAAGAGGCCUUUUUCACUGGGGCCUCCCUAAGCAUGGGUGGGUAAUAAUUUGUUCCUAAACAUCCUGGCAGGUCCCAGCGUUUUUAUAUGGUUGGUAUGGGGAGAAAUGAGAGUAGGUAAUGGAUGCUAGCCUCUGUCUGCAAGGCGAUACACACUUUUCAAA